rnacentral:rRNA from 1 species
UUAUUGAACGCUGGCGGCAGGCCUAACACAUGCAAGUCGAACGGUAACAGAAAGCAGCUUGCUGCUUUGCUGACGAGUGGCGGACGGGUGAGUAAUGUCUGGGAAACUGCCUGAUGGAGGGGGAUAACUACUGGAAACGGUAGCUAAUACCGCAUAACGUCGCAAGACCAAAGAGGGGGACCUUCGGGCCUCUUGCCAUCGGAUGUGCCCAGAUGGGAUUAGCUAGUAGGUGGGGUAACGGCUCACCUAGGCGACGAUCCCUAGCUGGUCUGAGAGGAUGACCAGCCACACUGGAACUGAGACACGGUCCAGACUCCUACGGGAGGCAGCAGUGGGGAAUAUUGCACAAUGGGCGCAAGCCUGAUGCAGCCAUGCCGCGUGUAUGAAGAAGGCCUUCGGGUUGUAAAGUACUUUCAGCGGGGAGGAAGGGAGUAAAGUUAAUACCUUUGCUCAUUGACGUUACCCGCAGAAGAAGCACCGGCUAACUCCGUGCCAGCAGCCGCGGUAAUACGGAGGGUGCAAGCGUUAAUCGGAAUUACUGGGCGUAAAGCGCACGCAGGCGGUUUGUUAAGUCAGAUGUGAAAUCCCCGGGCUCAACCUGGGAACUGCAUCUGAUACUGGCAAGCUUGAGUCUCGUAGAGGGGGGUAGAAUUCCAGGUGUAGCGGUGAAAUGCGUAGAGAUCUGGAGGAAUACCGGUGGCGAAGGCGGCCCCCUGGACGAAGACUGACGCUCAGGUGCGAAAGCGCGGGGGAGCAAACAGGAUUAGAUACCCUGGUAGUUCACGCCGUAAACGAUGUCGACUUGGAGGUUGUGCCCUUGAGGCGUGGCUUCCGGAGCUAACGCGUUAAGUCGACCGCCUGGGGAGUACGGCCGCAAGGUUAAAACUCAAAUGAAUUGACGGGGGCCCGCACAAGCGGUGGAGCAUGUGGUUUAAUUCGAUGCAACGCGAAGAACCUUACCUGGUCUUGACAUCCACGGAAGUUUUCAGAGAUGAGAAUGUGCCUUCGGGAACCGUGAGACAGGUGCUGCAUGGCUGUCGUCAGCUCGUGUUGUGAAAUGUUGGGUUAAGUCCCGCAACGAGCGCAACCCUUAUCCUUUGUUGCCAGCGGUCCGGCCGGGAACUCAAAGGAGACUGCCAGUGAUAAACUGGAGGAAGGUGGGGAUGACGUCAAGUCAUCAUGGCCCUUACGACCAGGGCUACACACGUGCUACAAUGGCGCAUACAAAGAGAAGCGACCUCGCGAGAGCAAGCGGACCUCAUAAAGUGCGUCGUAGUCCGGAUUGGAGUCUGCAACUCGACUCCAUGAAGUCGGAAUCGCUAGUAAUCGUGGAUCAGAAUGCCACGGUGAAUACGUUCCCGGGCCUUGUACACACCGCCCGUCACACCAUGGGAGUGGGUUGCAAAAGAAGUAGGUAGCUUAACCUUCGGGAGGGCGCUUACCACUUUGUG